rnacentral:misc_RNA from 1 species
UUAGUAUCCGGAGAGAAGCCAGAUCAUGUGACCAUGAUUGGAGUUCUAUGUGCAUGUAGUCAUGCAGGAUUGGUUGAGGAGGGGCGUCGAUAUUUCUAUUCCAUGGACACAGAGUAUGGGUUGACACCAUUUAAGGACCACUAUACAUGCAUGGUUGACUUACUUGGCAAGGCUGGUUGCUUAGAAGAGGCAAAGGAUUUGAUUGAAUCCAUGCCGAUGCCACCAGAUAGUGCGGUAUGGGGG